rnacentral:rRNA from 1 species
AGUGAACGCUGGCGGCAGGCCUAACACAUGCAAGUCGAACGGCAGCACAGAGGAGCUUGCUCCUUGAGUGGCGAGUGGCGGACGGGUGAGGAAUACAUCGGAAUCUGCCUAUUUGUGGGGGAUAACGUCGGGAAACUUACGCUAAUACCGCAUACGACCUACGGGAGAAAGCGGAGGACCUUCGGGCUUCGCCCAGAUAGAUUAGCCGAUGUCGGAUUAGCUAGCUGGCGGGGUAAAGGCCCACCAAGGCGACGAUCCGUAGCUGGUCUGAGAGAAUGAUCAGCCACACUGGAACUGAGACACGGUCCAGACUCCUACGGGAGGCAGCAGUGGGGAAUAUUGGACAAUGGGCGCAAGCCUGAUCCAGCCAUGCCGCGUGGGUGAAGAAGGCCUUCGGGUUGUAAAGCCCUUUUGUUGGGAAAGAAAAGCAGUCGGUUAAUACCCGAUUGUUCUGACGGUACCCGGCGAAUAAGCCACGGCUAACUACGUGCCAGCAGCCGCCGUAAUAC